rnacentral:rRNA from 1 species
UACGUAGGGUGCAAGCGUUGUCCGGAAUUAUUGGGCGUAAAGAGCUCGUAGGCGGUCUGUCGCGUCUGCUGUGAAAACUCGGGGCUUAACCCCGGGCCUGCAGUGGGUACGGGCAGACUAGAGUGCGGUAGGGGAGACUGGAAUUCCUGGUGUAGCGGUGAAAUGCGCAGAUAUCAGGAGGAACACCGGUGGCGAAGGCGGGUCUCUGGGCCGAACUGACGCUGGAGGAGCGAAAGCAUGGGGAGCGAACAGG